CCUACGGGGGGCAGCAGUGGGGAAUCUUGCACAAUGGGCGCAAGCCUGAUGCAGCCAUGCCGCGUGUAUGAAGAAGGCCUUCGGGUUGUACAGUACUUUCAGUCGUGAGGAAGGUGUUAAGGUUAAUAACCUUAGCAAUUGACGUUAGCGACAGAAGAAGCACCGGCUAACUCAGUGCCAGCAGCCGCCGUAAUACGGAGGGUGCGAGCGUAAAUCGGAAGUACUAGGCGUAAAGAUCACGCCGGCGGGUAAGUAAGUAUGAUGUGAAAGACGCGGGCAUAACCUAGGAAUUGCGUCAGAGACUGGUCUGGUAGAGUCAUGUGGAGGGAGGUUGGAUUCCAUGUAUAGUGGUGAAACGCGUUGGGAGGGUGAGGGAUACCGGUGGCGAAGGCGGCCCCCUGGACAGAGACUGAGGCUGAUGUGCGAAGGAGUGAGAAGCAAGCAGGAUUAGAUACCCGUGUAGUC
rnacentral:rRNA from 1 species